GAGAAGUCGUAACAAGGUUUCCGUAGGUGAACCUGCGGAAGGAUCAUUGAUAUCUAUCGAGUCCAUAUCCAUGGUAACCAUCCCUUUGUCCCCCCCUUUCGGACCCUCACGGGACCGACUGGGCGCUGGAUACCUCGUCGGCAUUGGAGGCAACUCCAAUCGUCGGAAAGGCCCAGCGGGUUGGCCGCCUCCUGCCCACUCGGAGGUGUGCCGACUGGUAAACCUUUGCUCACCCACACCCUUCACUUGAAUAAAAUCUCUAAAGCCAAAGGCGUUCGACUCUGGUCGGCGCACCCAAUAAAGACAACUCUCAACAACGGAUAUCUUGGCUCCCGUAUCGAUGAAGAACGCAGCGAAAUGCGAUACGUAGUGUGAAUUGCAGAAUUCCGUGAACCAUCGAAUCUUUGAACGCAAAUUGCGCUCGAGGCCUUGGCCAAGAGCAUGUCUGCCUCAGCGUCGGCUAUACAUCCUCGCCCUCUAACAUUCGUUUGUUUGUUGGGCGGAACUGGUCGUCUCAAUCUCCCGAUUGGGUCGGUCGAAACGCAGAGGCUAAAUCGGACCUUUCAAAGGCGACAACUUGGUAGGUGGCGCAUGCCGCAUGCCGUUGUUGCUCGGGUCGGGUGAGGCCAAUCGGAACCGGCUUGCCGGUCCACCUUUCAAUUUUCGACCUGAGUUUAGGCAAGAGCACCCGCUGAACUUAAGCAUAUCAAUAAGCGGUGGAAAAGAAACUAACCAGGAUUCCCCUAGUAGCG
rnacentral:rRNA from 1 species